AUUCUUGAUUUUUAAGAUUUAUACUCUAUAAUCAAAGAUGCCGGCUUGCCGGUUAUGACGCUAAACGCGGAUACGUAAUAGACGUUAUGGACCCGGGGGCAGUGCCCGGCGGCUCCACCAGAAUUCGCAGGAUUUGAAAACGGAUUGGCGAAUUCCGGCGGGGCCGAAACAGGAUCGACAUGCGUAUUAAAGGUAUUUUGCGGCGUCCGGAAUCGGCCUAACGUUACUGGGCCAUUUGAUAGUUGCAAAUGACAACUCUCAGUUCGUAGCAGCCAACGACAAUUUUGUUGUCGCUGGUGAAGGUCGUAAAGCUGCCUAACGGCACUCUACGCGCUACACCUUAAUCCCUUCCUACUAACCUAGGGAGGUGGGGUCCGGUGGGUACCUCGCAACAGAAACCCACCAUU
rnacentral:tmRNA from 1 species